UUCGGAUACAGGUGAAGUCUUUGUGCGGGACCCCAGGAACAUGUGCAGGAAUCCGGGACGAACUGGCGGUUUUUAUAUCCACGGGGUGGUAAAGAGAGAGAGCGGAGGUCGGGUACGAAGGCACGGAGACAGGGAAUGAAGAGCUGGAGACCAUCGGUGUCUCACUCCGUCCAAUGAGGGAAACCACUUGUGGCCACGCAGAUCAAACUUGCAGGAUUGUCUUUGUGGAUCCGCUGCGGCGUCUGAUAGGCCAUGCCCUUCACCUGCGCCUGCUUCUGUGGCCUGAACAGCUUUUACCGUGGACUGGGAAAGAAGAAAAGGGAAAAAGUGGAGGAGGAGAAGGAGGAGGAAGAGGGUGACCGAUGGAGGGAUCAGGAGACAAAGCACUCUUGAGUCCAGUUCUAUUUCCGUCCUCCGGCGGACGCUCCAGCCGAAACGGAGCUCCUCAGGAAAGUGGGACAUUGUGACGCGUCCGCCCCUGUUCACGCCCACGCCCACUGACA
ensembl:lncRNA